rnacentral:rRNA from 1 species
GAUGAACGCUAGCGGGAGGCCUAACACAUGCAAGCCGAGCGGUAUUUGUUCUUCGGAACAGAGAGAGCGGCGUACGGGUGCGGAACACGUGUGCAACCUGCCUUCAUCAGGGGGAUAGCCUUUCGAAAGGAAGAUUAAUACCCCAUAAUAUAUUGAUUCGCAUGGAUUGAUAUUGAAAACUCCGGUGGAUAGAGAUGGGCACGCGCAAGAUUAGAUAGUUGGUGAGGUAACGGCUCACCAAGUCGAUGAUCUUUAGGGGGCCUGAGAGGGUGAUCCCCCACACUGGUACUGAGACACGGACCAGACUCCUACGGGAGGCAGCAGUGAGGAAUAUUGGACAAUGGGUGAGAGCCUGAUCCAGCCAUCCCGCGUGAAGGACGACGGUUCUAUGGAUUGUAAACUUCUUUUAUAUAGGGAUAAACCUACUUACGUGUAAGUAGCUGAAGGUACUAUAUGAAUAAGCACCGGCUAACUCCGUGCCAGCAGCCGCCGUAAAAC